CACGUAGGGCGCAAGCGUUGUCCGGAAUUAUUGGGCGUAAAGAGCUCGUAGGUGGUUUGCUGCGUCCGCUGUGAAAACCCAAGGCUUAACCUUGGGCUUGCAGUGGAUACGGGCAGACUAGAGGUAGGUAGGGGAGAAUGGAAUUCCCGGUGUAGCGGUGAAAUGCGCAGAUAUCGGGAGGAACACCGGUGGCGAAGGCGGUUCUCUGGGCCGUACCUGACACUGAGGAGCGAAAGCGUGGGGAGCGAACAGG
rnacentral:rRNA from 1 species